AUUGAACGCUGGCGGCAGGCUUAACACAUGCAAGUCGAGCGGGGGAAGGUAGCUUGCUACCGGACCUAGCGGCGGACGGGUGAGUAAUGCUUAGGAAUCUGCCUAUUAGGGGGGGACAACAUCUCGAAAGGGAUGCUUAUACCGCAUACGUCCUACGGGCGAAAGCAGGGGAGCUCCGGACCUUGCGCUCAUAGAUGAGCCUAAUUGGGAUGAGCGAGUGGGUGGGGUAAAGGCCUACCAAGGCGACGAUCUGUAGCGGGUCUGAGAGGAUGAUCCGCCACACUGGGACUGAGACACGGCCCAGACUCCUACGGGAGGCAGCAGUGGGGAAUAUUGGACAAUGGGGGGAACCCUGAUCCAGCCAUGCCGCGUGUGUGAAGAAGGCCUUAUGGUUGUAAAGCACUUUAAGCGAGGAGGAGGCUACUUUAGUUAAUACCUAGAGAUAGUGGACGUUACUCGCAGAAUAAGCACCGGCUAACUCUGUGCCAGCCGCCGCGGUAA
rnacentral:rRNA from 1 species